AGUGAACGCUGGCGGUAGGCCUAACACAUGCAAGUCGAACGGCAGCACAGGAGAGCUUGCUCUCUGGGUGGCGAGUGGCGGACGGGUGAGGAAUACAUCGGAAUCUACUCUGUCGUGGGGGAUAACGUAGGGAAACUUACGCUAAUACCGCAUACGACCUACGGGUGAAAGCAGGGGACCUUCGGGCCUUGCGCGAUUGAAUGAGCCGAUGUCGGAUUAGCUAGUUGGCGGGGUAAAGGCCCACCAAGGCGACGAUCCGUAGCUGGUCUGAGAGGAUGAUCAGCCACACUGGAACUUGGACACGGUCCAGACUCCUACGGGAGGCAGCAGUGGGGAAGAUUGGACAAUGGGCGCAAGCCUGAUCCAGCCAUACCGCGUGGGUGAAGAAGGCCUUCGGGUUGUAAAGCCCUUUUGUUGGGAAAGAAAUCCAGCUGGCUAAUACCCGGUUGGGAUGACGGUACCCAAAGAAUAAGCACCGGCUAACUUCGUGCCAGCCGCCGCAGUAA
rnacentral:rRNA from 1 species